GACGAACGCUGGCGGCGUGCUUAACACAUGCAAGUCGAGCGGUAAGGCCCUUUCGGGGGUACACGAGCGGCGAACGGGUGAGUAACACGUGGGUGACCUGCCCUCAGCUCUGGGAUAAGCCUGGGAAACCGGGUCUAAUACUGGAUAUGACUCCAUGACGCAUGUUGUGGGGUGGAAAGCCUUGUGCGGCUGAGGAUGGGCCCGCGGCCUAUCAGCUUGUUGGUGGGGUGANGGCCUACCAAGGCGACGACGGGUAGCCGGCCUGAGAGGGCGACCGGCCACACUGGGACUGAGACACGGCCCAGACUCCUACGGGAGGCAGCAGGUGGGGAAUAUUGGACAAUGGGCGCAAGCCUGAUCCAGCGAUGCCGCGUGUGUGAAGAAGGCCU
rnacentral:rRNA from 1 species